UCUUGCGCAAUGGGCGAAAGCCUGACGCAGCGACGCCGCGUGGGUGAUGAAGGCCUUCGGGUCGUAAAGCCAUGUCGGGAGGGACGAAACCUCGGUGACCUAAUACGUCAUCGACCUGACGGUACCUCCUAAGGAAGCACCGGCUAACUCCGUGCCAGCAGCCGCGGUAAUACGGAGGGUGCAAGCGUUGUUCGGAAUUACUGGGCGUAAAGCGCGUGUAGGCGGUCGCGUAAGUCUGAUGUGAAAGCCCGGGGCUCACCCCCGGAAGUGCAUUGGAAACUGCGCGACUAGAGUGCCGGAGAGGAGGGUGGAGUUCCUGGUGUAGCGGUGAAAUGCGUAGAUAUCAGGAGGAACACCGGUGGCGAAGGCGGCCCUCUGGACGGAUACUGACGCGAGACGCGAAA
rnacentral:rRNA from 1 species